CACGUAGGCACCAAGCGUUGUCCGGAUUUAUUGGGCGUAAAGAGCUCGUGGGCGGUUCGGUAAGUCGGGUGUGAAAACUUUGGGCUCAACCCAAAGCCUGCACCCGAUACUGCUGUGACUCGAGUCCGGUAGGGGAGUGGGGAAUUCCUGGUGUAGCGGUGGAAUGCGCAGAUAUCAGGAGGAACACCGGUGGCGAAGGCGCCACUCUGGGCCGGUACUGACGCUGAGGAGCGAAAGCGUGGGGAGCGAACAGG
rnacentral:rRNA from 1 species